CAUACAGGUUAAGCAAAUGAUCAACUACAAGAAUAGCAUUGCCUUCAAACCGAUGGGCGAACGCUGAAAAUACUCGUAUAGUGGCUGAUAGCGGAUGCAUUAAAGAAAUUACUGGGGACUAGGGCCCAAUGCUGUAUGGAAGCCUAACUUUAUGGUGCUCUAAAAUGUCAUCAGUAUAGUUGUACGCUGUACCUUGGAAGAACGUGCUGAGUUGCCAUGCACUGUUCCUCUCGCCCGUUGACUUCGUAUCGAUUGCUUUAAUAUUGCUCUUUGCCACAUAAAUGCCGAACUGAGUGUGAGGUGUACAAACAUCAGGCAAGGGUUUAAUUGCUGUCAUUGGCUCACCCGACAACAAAUUGUCAAAAGCCUGCAUUGUGUCCCCGCAUUGGUUGGCGACUCCCGCUUGCAUCAUUGCGUUCGUUUACUUUGUCAUUUACAAUUUGAUUUUGGUGUUACGUUGCACUAUAAAGUAACAGCAUAUAAAGGAAGGAGAAGCGGCACCAGUGUGGCCGCUAACCCGAACACGGCAAUACCAGCAUUGAUCCUUCUCAGGGAUGGAACAUUGGGAAAAUAUGUUUGAAAUGUAUGGGCACAUCUUUGAUUA